CUCUCGUCAAAACCUAUCUCAGUCCCAGGCUCCCAGCUCCUUGCUUGUAUUCUUUAUCCAAAUCCUCUCUCUCUUCAGCAAAAUCGAAAUCCUCUUUAUCCAAAGUGCCCCUCCUAAAAUACCAAACACCCAGAUCUCAGCUCUCACUCUUGCCCCUCGGCGUCAGCAAAUCCAAUCUCCUCUCCAGAACCCUCAACGUCGACGUAGCUGGCCAAUCGGUCAUCAAGGCCCAGAUUUAGGACACUUUUGGCCAAGAAAGGGGCAGAUUUGGUGGUUUGUGGUGUUGAAUUGCAGGUCAGCUUUCUGAAUAUUAAUGGUUUCGGUUUGAAGAGCAGUAAGAAACCCAAAUCAAAGACUCCGGCAAAGAAGCCCAAAGACAGUGUUCUUGAGCAGAAAUCUCCAGCUGAGUUCUUCGCUGAGAACAAGAACAUUGCUGGAUUUGGUAAUCCAGGGAAAUGUCUUUAUACUAAUGUGAGGGAACUUGUGGAGAACUCAUUUGAUUCGACGGAGUCCAUAUCGGAGCUUCCUCUGAUAGAAAUCACAAUACACAGCAAGCCGCACGUCUCUCUUCGAUCUGUUAUCUCUUCGUGUCUCUGAUUCUCUGUGCUUUGCUUCUUGGCGGCGUCUCUCUCUGUGCGUUGCUUCUUCACGACGAGGAUGGGUAUGUUCUGAUUGAAAGCAAAAAGGUUGAAGCGGUGUGGGUCUGUGGGAGCUUGAAGGUUGAAGCGGUGUGGGAACUGGGAACUAGGAACUGGGAACUUGAAGAUUGAAGCGGUGUGGGAAGUUUAAGGUCGUUCUGUGCCUUGUGGGCUAUUAAUCUAUUAGUAAAGCAAAUGGAGAAGCAUAUCAAGACACUCAUUGUCCUAUCUCACUACUUGGAGAUGCAGUCUUUUUCCUCUCCAUUGUCUACCAUACUAAGCAA